rnacentral:rRNA from 1 species
AGCAUGUGGUUUAAUUCGAUGCAACGCGAAGAACCUUACCUGGGCUUGACAUCCCGGGAAUCCCCUGGAAACAGGGGAGUGCCCUUCGGGGAACCCGGUGACAGGUGCUGCAUGGCUGUCGUCAGCUCGUGUCGUGAGAUGUUGGGUUAAGUCCCGCAACGAGCGCAACCCUUGUCUUUAGUUGCCAUCAUUGAGUUGGGCACUCUAAAGAGACUGCCGGUGUCAAACCGGAGGAAGGUGGGGAUGACGUCAAGUCCUCAUGGCCUUUAUGACCAGGGCUACACACGUACUACAAUGGCCGGUACAAAGGGCAGCGACACAGCGAUGUGAAGCCAAUCCCGAAAAGCCGGUCUCAGUCCGGAUUGGAGUCUGCAACUCGACUCCAUGAAGUUGGAAUCGCUAGUAAUCGCGGAUCAGCACGCCGCGGUGAAUACGUUCCCGGGCCUU